rnacentral:rRNA from 1 species
UUGCGCAGCUUAACAUGCAAGUCGGACGGCAGCACGGGAGUAAUCCUGGUGGCGAGUGGCGAACGGGUGAGUAAUAUAUCGGAACGUACCCAGUCGUGGGGGAUAACGCAGCGAAAGCUGUGCUAAUACCGCAUACGAUCUAUGGAUGAAAGCGGGGGAUCGCAAGACCUCGCGCGAUUGGAGCGGCCGAUAUCAGAUUAGCUAGUUGGUGGGGUAAAGGCCCACCAAGGCGACGAUCUGUAGCUGGUCUGAGAGGACGACCAGCCACACUGGAACUGAGACACGGUCCAGACUCCUACGGGAGGCAGCAGUGGGGAAUUUUGGACAAUGGGCGCAAGCCUGAUCCAGCAAUGCCGCGUGCAGGAUGAAGGCCUUCGGGUUGUAAACUGCUUUUGUACGGAACGAAACGGUCCUUUCUAAUACAAGGGGCUAAUGACGGUACCGUAAGAAUAAGCACCGGCUAACUACGUGCCAGCAGCCGCGGUAAUACGUAGGGUGCGAGCGUUAAUCGGAAUUACUGGGCGUAAAGCGUGCGCAGGCGGUUAUGUAAGACAGAUGUGAAAUCCCCGGGCUCAACCUGGGACCUGCAUUUGUGACUGCAUAGCUAGAGUACGGUAGAGGGGGAUGGAAUUCCGCGUGUAGCAGUGAAAUGCGUAGAUAUGCGGAGGAACACCGAUGGCGAAAGCAAUCCCCUGGACCUGUACUGACGCUCAUGCACGAAAGCGUGGGGAGCAAACAGGAUUAGAUACCCUGGUAGUCCACGCCCUAAACGAUGUCAACUGGUUGUUGGGUCUUC